GCCCCCGUAGCUCAACUGGAUAGAGCAGCUGACUUCUAAUCAGCAGGUUAGCCGUUCGAGACGGCUCGGGGGUA
rnacentral:tRNA from 1 species